UUGAAGUUUUCCACUAAGGGAUCCGAGGAGAUCACGAGAUUCAUGGUCGAGGGUUUCUAUGCAUCUUGUGGUAGUUUGUGAUGGACUAGUUGGAGCACCCCUUCAGGAUUAAAUCUUUCGGAAAGCCAUGCCCGUGGUUAUGUGGCAAACUUGGAAACUUUGUUUAACAUCAUGUUCUAGAUAAUUUGCAGUAAACUUAAUUACAACUUGCCAACUGUUUGCGUAACCGUGAUUGUCUCUUCUCGUGAGUUCUUCAUCCGGAAGAUGACACGGUGGGGUUAUGUGUGAUGUAAGUAGGUGUUCACAAUCAUUCAUUUGAUCAUUAUUAGUUCACGUACGUUAUGCGUAGAUCACCCCCUUUUAUUCUUGUACUCGUAAGUUAGCCACUCAAAUAAAUGCUUAGUUGCUUGUUGUAGCCUCACCACUUAACCAUACCUCACCCAUUAAGUUUUGCUAGUCUUGAUACCUUUGGAAAUGAGAUUGCUGAGUCCCUGUGGCUCACAGACUACUACAACACCAGUUGCAGGUAUGGGUAAAGAGAUACUUUGAGGUGAGUACGAUGAUUGUUCUUUUGGAGUUUCUUCUUCUUCUUCUUCAUCGAUCUAGGUUGGGUUCCAAGCCGGUAGCCUAGGAUAGCAAGGAUAGACGUUGUGUUGGAAAUAUGCCUUAGAGGCAAUAAUAAAUUAGUUAUUAUUAUAUUUCUUUGUUCAUGAUAAUCGUUUAUUAUCCAUGCUAUAAUUGUAUUGAUUGGAAACACAAUACUUGUGUGGAUACAUAGACAAAACAUUGUCCCUAGUAAGCCUCUAGUUGACUAGCUCGUUGAUCAAAGAUGGUCAAGGUUUCCUGACCAUAGGCAAGUGUUGUCACUUGAUAACGGGACCACAUCAUUAGGA
rnacentral:lncRNA from 1 species